UUGAACGCUGGCGGCAUGCUUUACACAUGCAAGUCGAACGGCAGCACAGGGAGCUUGCUCCUGGGUGGCGAGUGGCGAACGGGUGAGUAAUGUAUCGGAACGUGCCUGGUAGUGGGGGAUAACUACUCGAAAGAGUGGCUAAUACCGCAUGAGAUCUUUGGAUGAAAGCGGGGGACCUUCGGGCCUCGUGCUACUGGAGCGGCCGAUAUCAGAUUAGGUUGUUGGUGGGGUAAAGGCCUACCAAGCCUGCGAUCUGUAGCUGGUCUGAGAGGACGACCAGCCACACUGGGACUGAGACACGGCCCAGACUCCUACGGGAGGCAGCAGUGGGGAAUUUUGGACAAUGGGCGCAAGCCUGAUCCAGCAAUGCCGCGUGCAGGACGAAGGCCUUCGGGUUGUAAACUGCUUUUGUACAGAACGAAAAGUCUCUGGCUAAUAUCUAGAGAUCAUGACGGUACUGUAAGAAUAAGCACCGGCUAACUACGUG
rnacentral:rRNA from 1 species